rnacentral:rRNA from 1 species
GAGUUUGAUCAUGGCUCAGAACGAACGCUGGCGGCGUGCUUAACACAUGCAAGUCGAACGCGAAAGUCCCUUCGGGGGCGAGUAAAGUGGCGCACAGGUGAGUAAUAAAUAGGAACGUACCGAAGGGUGGGGAAUAACCACGGGAAACCGUGGCUAAUACCGCAUAACGUCGCAAGACCAAAGGGGGCCUCUACUUGUAAGCUCUCGCCAUUCGAUCGGCCUAUUUCCCAUUAGCUUGUUGGCAGGGUAACGGCCUACCAAGGCAACGAUGGGUAGCUGGUCUAAGAGGAUGAUCAGCCACACUGGAACUGAGACACGGUCCAGACUCCUACGGGAGGCAGCAGUGGGGAAUCUUGCACAAUGGGCGAAAGCCUGAUGCAGCAACGCCGCGUGAGUGAAGAAGGUCCUUGGAUCGUAAAGCUCUUUCGGCUGGGAAGAGGGGAGGUUGGAUUAACACCCCAACCUCUUGACGGUACCAGAAGAAGAAGCACUGGCUAAUUCCGUGCCAGCAGCCGCGGUAAUACGGAAGGUGCAAGCGUUGUUCGGAUUGACUGGGCGUAAAGAGCACGUAGGCGGGCUUGUAUGUCGAGUGUGAAAGCCCCCGGGCUU